rnacentral:rRNA from 1 species
ACGCACGCUGGCGGCGUGCUUAACACAUGCAAGUCGAACGGAAAGGCCCUGCUUUUGUGGGGUGCUCGAGUGGCGAACGGGUGAGUAACACGUGAGUAACCUGCCCUUGAUUUUGGGAUAACUUCAGGAAACUGGGGCUAAUACCGGAUAGGAGCUCCUGCUGCAUGGUGGGGGUUGGAAAGUUUCGGCGGUUGGGGAUGGACUCGCGGCUUAUCAGCUUGUUGGUGGGGUAGUGGCUUACCAAGGCUUUGACGGGUAGCCGGCCUGAGAGGGUGACCGGCCACAUUGGGACUGAGAUACGGCCCAGACUCCUACGGGAGGCAGCAGUGGGGAAUAUUGCACAAUGGGCGGAAGCCUGAUGCAGCAACGCCGCGUGCGGGAUGACGGCCUUCGGGUUGUAAACCGCUUUCGCCUGUGACGAAGCGUGAGUGACGGUAAUGGGUAAAGAAGCACCGGCUAACUACGUG